ensembl:snRNA U6 U6 spliceosomal RNA
AUGCUUGGUUCGGCAGCACAUGUACUAAAAUUGGAAAAUUACAGAAGAUUAGUGUGGCUCCUGCAUCAGGAUGACAUGCAAAUUCGUGAAGCAUUCUAUAUUUUC